ACAAUCAGUGCAAAACGACCAAGAGCAAGAUACAAGUAUAGAUCAUACAAGUAAUGAUAAAGAGAGAGCAUCUAUCUAUUACAUUCAUUCAGCCUUUAUAAUACAAUUGGAUUAUACAUUGAACUUCCAAAACAUAAUAUAAAGCUUACAUUUUCCAAAAUAUAAACAAUAGCUUACAUUCAUCCCAGAAUAUCUCACAUCCUAUACAUCAUCUACUCUCAAAGCAUAAAAAGGUGACUCUAAUGCAGAAAUAGGAAAGUAGACUAAUGCAACUAGGGCGCUAGGCCCUUACCGCGAUCCUCGCCGUGUGAACUCGCGC
rnacentral:lncRNA from 1 species